rnacentral:rRNA from 1 species
UACGUAGGGUGCGAGCGUUGUCCGGAAUUAUUGGGCGUAAAGAGCUUGUAGGCGGUUUGUCGCGUCUGCUGUGAAAUCCCGAGGCUCAACCUCGGGUCUGCAGUCGAUACGGGCAAACUAGAGUAUUGCAGGGGAGACUGGAAUUCCUGGUGUAGCGGUGAAAUGCGCAGAUAUCAGGAGGAACACCGGUGGCGAAGGCGGGUCUCUGGGCCGAUACUGACGCUGAGGAGCGAAAGCGUGGGGAGCGAACAGG